rnacentral:rRNA from 1 species
GACGAACGCUGGCGGCGUGCCUAAUACAUGCAAGUAGAACGCUGAAGGAGGAGCUUGCUUCUCUGGAUGAGUUGCGAACGGGUGAGUAACGCGUAGGUAACCUGCCUGGUAGCGGGGGAUAACUAUUGGAAACGAUAGCUAAUACCGCAUAAUAGUAGAUGUUGCAUGACAUUUACUUAAAAGGUGCAAUUGCAUCACUACCAGAUGGACCUGCGUUGUAUUAGCUAGUUGGUGGGGUAACGGCUCACCAAGGCGACGAUACAUAGCCGACCUGAGAGGGGGAUCGGCCACACUGGGACUGAGACACGGCCCAGACUCCUACGGGAGGCAGCAGUAGGGGAUCUUCGGCAAUGGACGAAAGUCUGACCGAGCAACGCCGCGUGAGUGAAGAAGGUUUUCGGAUCGUAAAGCUCUGUUGUAAGAGAAGAACGAGUGUGAGAGUGGAAAGUUCACACUGUGACGGUAUCUUACCAGAAAGGGACGGCUAACUACGUG